UACGUAGGGUGCGAGCGUUAAUCGGAAUUACUGGGCGUAAAGCGUGCGCAGGCGGUUUUGUAAGCCAGAUGUGAAAUCCCCGGGCUCAACCUGGGAAUGGCAUUUGGGACUGCAAAGCUGGAGUGCGGCAGAGGGGACUGGAAUUCCUGGUGUAGCAGUGAAAUGCGUAGAGAUCAGGAGGAACACCGGUGGCGAAGGCGGGUCUCUGGGCCGAUACUGACGCUGAGGAGCGAAAGCGUGGGGAGCGAACAGG
rnacentral:rRNA from 1 species